rnacentral:rRNA from 1 species
AUGCUCCGCCUCCGGGGCUGCAUCCUCCCCCGCCUCCUCUCAUCUCCCGCCACCUCCCUCCACCGCCUCCUCUCCGCGGCCGUUUCUCCGAGCCCUCCUAGCUUCGCCGUGGAGGAGUACCUCGUCGCCACCUGCGGCCUCACCCCAGCGCAGGCCCGCAAGGCCUCCCCCAAGCUCUCCCACCUCAAGUCCCUGGCCAACCCCGACGCCGUGCUCGCCUUCCUCGCCGGCCUCGGCCUCUCCGCCGCCGACCUCGCCACCGCCGUCCGCAAGGACCCCAGGUUGCUCUGCGCGGGCGUGGAGACAACCCUGGCCCCCAAUGUCGCGGAGCUCACCGGCCUGGGUCUCUCGCCUUCUGAGAUCGCGCGCCUCGUCUCGAUCACCGGCACCACUUUCCGCUGCAAAUCCAUCGUCUCCGGACUGCACUACUGCUUGCCCCUCUUCGGCUCCUCAGAGAACCUCCUUCGGGUCCUCAAGAGUGGCUCCGUUCUCGGGUCUGACCUCCAACGGGUGAUCAAGCCCAAUGUCGCCUUCCUGAGGGAGUGCGGGCUAGGUGCUUGCGAUAUUGCCAAGCUCUACGUAUUUCGGCCAUCGCCGCUCAGCAUCAGCACCGAACGCAUCCGGACAGCAGUGGCGCGUGUUGACGGUCUUGGUGUAUCCCGUGGAUCUCCCAUGUUCAAGCAUGCGCUACAAGCUGUUGCAUUCCUCACCGAGGAGAAAAUCACCGCCAAUGUAGAGCACUUGAAGAAAGCGUUCAGGUGGUCGGAUGCCGAGGUGGGCAUUGCUGUUUCUAAGGCUCCAUCGUUGCUGACGAAGAAUAAGGAAUCGCUGCAGCGCAGGUCCGAGUUCCUCAUCUCUGAGCUGGGGUUGGAACCCGCAUACAUUGCUUAUCGUCCGGCAAUGCUCACUUACAGCUUGGAGGGCCGGAUCAGACCCCGGUACUAUGUCGUAAAGUUUCUCAAGGAAAAUGGAUUGCUCAAGCGUGACCCGAGCUACUUUACUGUUUUCAAGGAGUCCGGGAAGGCAUUCAACAAGAUGUUCAUACACCCUCAUAAGGAAGCUGCACCACACCUUGAAAAAGACUACGAUGCUGCUUGCAAAGGGGAGGUGCCCACUAAUUUCAGAUUCACAUAA